CUAUAUAGGUAUAUAGACAUGUACCUCAAGGAACAUCCUGACUUAACAGAAGAAGAAAGAAGAAGCAUAUGCAGAAAAAUAGAGCACCGCAAUCUAUCACAGGAAGCGCGAUCACAUGCGUUGAAAAAGAUAGGCUGCCAGAUAACAUCAGGACACUAUUUAUUCUUCUUGAACAGGUCAAUAUGACGAGGUUACUAAUUUCAGCUGGUUCAAGUUUCCAGAGAACUAAGUCACAGACAGUGGCGGAGCCAGGAUUUUCAUUGAGGGGCUUCAGAAGUAAACAUACGGAUUUGUCGAAGGGGUUCAACAUUUACUAUAUAUACAUAAAAAUAUUUUUGAUCGUGUAAAAAUAGUAUAAUUUUUCGUCGAAGGGGGUUCGGAUGAACCGCUGAUUACGAGGUGGAUCCGCCACUGGUCACAGACCAUAAUGAAAGUCAGCAGUGGUUUAGGCAAGAGUUGGGUGAAUUCCUCCCAGAAGGAAAUGAAAGCAAUAAAACAGGAGAUUGAGAUGUUAAAGGAUCAAGUUGGUGAACUGCAACAACCUAGAAUGGAACUUCAAAGGCAAACGGAAAAACCUGUCUUUUGUUAGUUUGUUAAGUUUCAUGUCUGCAAGCAAGGGAUCUGGUUCCUUAAUUCUAAUGAAUGUUCACUGAUACUGAAGCUUGAAUUCCUGAAAUAUUCCCAAGUUUUUUUUUUUGGUUAUCCGUCUUAUGUUGCGGAGUUUUUGACACUGAACCCUUAGUAAAACCACUCACUCCUAGCCAUUCUGGAUGUAUGAUUCAAGCUAUAAUCUCUGCUUCAUCUUUUAAAUUUAUUAUCAACAAAUUAAUAGG